UUAGAAGAUACAAAGCCAAAUCCUCAUACGGACUUUAGCUACCCCAUCAAAACUUUGAAAAGCAAGAAGAAGCUUGGUUAGUGUUUUGGAGUCAAAUAAUACUAGAUGUCAUGUGUAAGAGUACUAUGACAACUAGAACCAUAAUCAGAUCUUAAAAACCUAAGUAUUGAAUCUUUGUUAGAAGAUACAAAGACAAACACUCAUAUGGACUUCGGCUACACUAUCAAAGCUUUGAGAAGCAAGAAGAAGCUUGGUUAGUGUUUUGGAUUCGAAUAUGACUUGAUGUCAUGUGUAUGACUGAGUAUAAAAACUUAAAUCGCAACCGGAUCUUAAAAACCUUAGUAGUGUUUCCUUGUUAGAAGAUAUAAAGCCAAAGACUCAUACGGACUUUAGCUUUACCAUCA
rnacentral:sRNA from 1 species